UGUUAUACUUGUUUCCUUGACAAUAGUCUGGGCUUGAAUAAGAUCCCAAUUUUGAUAAGCAAAAGUCAAUGAAAAAUACACUCUUCAGAAUGUCUGUUGAUGAUUAUCUGCUGAGUAGUGUUGUUAGUGUACUACAGAAGAGAAUUCGGAGACACUUUUGGAUCUGCCCUGUCAGUGAUGUGCAAGUCCCUGGAUGCUUCUUCCCUCAUCAAAGAUAAAAAGUUUGAGAAGCCCUGCCCUAGAAAACCUCUCACACAAAUACACAAUGAGAGUUGUACAGGUGUGACCACUGAAGAACCAUCUGUAAGAAAAAAAAACCUAUUAAAA